GGAUUCAUCAGAACAAACGUUUC
rnacentral:snRNA from 1 species